rnacentral:rRNA from 1 species
CAGGCCUAACACAUGCAAGUCGAACGAGGUAGCAAUACCUAGUGGCGGACGGGUGAGGAAUACGUAGGGAUCUGCCCUUAAGUGGGGGAUAACCCGGGGAAACCCGGAUUAAUACCGCAUGAUCUCGCAAGAGCAAAGAGGGGGACCGCAAGGCCUCUCGCUUUUGGAGGAACCUACGUCGGAUUAGCUAGUUGGUGAGGUAAUGGCUCACCAAGGCUACGAUCCGUAACUGGUCUGAGAGGAUGAUCAGUCACACCGGAACUGAGACACGGUCCGGACUCCUACGGGAGGCAGCAGUGGGGAAUAUUGGACAAUGGGCGAAAGCCUGAUCCAGCAAUACCGCGUGUGUGAAGAGGGCCUUCGGGUUGUAAAGCACUUUAAGUUGGGAAGAAAAAACUUUACUUAAUACGUGAAGUCUUGACGGUACCGACAGAAUAAGCACCGGCUAACUCUGUGCCAGCAGCCGCGGUAAUACAGAGGGUGCUAGCGUUAAUCGGAUUUACUGGGCGUAAAGCGUGCGUAGGCGGUUUGAUAAGUCGAUUGUGAAAGCCCUGGGCUCAACCUAGGAAUUGCGGUCGAUACUGUCAGACUAGAAAACGGUAGAGGGAGGUGGAACUCCAGGUGUAGUGGUGAAAUGCGUAGAUAUCUGGAAGAACACCGAUGGCGAAGGCAGCCUCCUGGGCCUGUUUUGACGCUGAGGCACGAAAGCGUGGGUAGCAAACAGGAUUAGAUACCCUGGUAGUCCACGCCGUAAACGAUGAGAACUUGACGUUGGUUUGCUUAGCAAAUCGGUGUCGUAGCUAACGCGAUAAGUUCUCCGCCUGGGGAGUACGGCCGCAAGGUUGAAACUCAAAGGAAUUGACGGAAGGGCGAAU